GCCUGGCUGGCUCAGCCUCUAGAGUAUGUGACUCUUGAUCUCAGGGUUGUGAGUUCCAUCCUCACACUGGGUA
rnacentral:tRNA from 1 species